rnacentral:rRNA from 1 species
AUUGAACGCUGGCGGCAGGCCUAACACAUGCAAGUCGAGCGGAUGAAGGGAGCUUGCUCCUGGAUUCAGCGGCGGACGGGUGAGUAAUGCCUAGGAAUCUGCCUGGUAGUGGGGGAUAACGUCCGGAAACGGGCGCUAAUACCGCAUACGUCCUGAGGGAGAAAGUGGGGGAUCUUCGGACCUCACGCUAUCAGAUGAGCCUAGGUCGGAUUAGCUAGUUGGUGGGGUAAAGGCCUACCAAGGCGACGAUCCGUAACUGGUCUGAGAGGAUGAUCAGUCACACUGGAACUGAGACACGGUCCAGACUCCUACGGGAGGCAGCAGUGGGGAAUAUUGGACAAAGGGCGAAAGCCUGUUCCAGCCAUGCCGCGUGUGUGAAGAAGGUCUUCGGAUUGUAAAGCACUUUAAGUUGGGAGGAAGGGCAGUAAGUUAAUACCUUGCUGUUUUGACGUUACCAACAGAAUAAGCACCGGCUAACUUCGUG